rnacentral:miRNA from 1 species
ACUGGAUUCCAUGAAGGGAUGUGA